rnacentral:tRNA from 1 species
UGUAAUUAAGUAUAUGGUGUACAAGAGUUUUUGAAUCUCUAGGAAGUAACAUUAAUGUUACUAUUUACAA